UUCGAAGAGCUUUCACGUUCAGUCAACAAUGGAACAGUCUUCUACAGCCAGACCCAACCCCUGGAGCUCUAACAAAAUACAUCCAGCUUCAGUCAGAGACGGACCUGGAAGGACUGAGCCGUGCAGUAUGGCAUAGUUUAGGAUCAAAUACUAUGGUUACAAGAUGGUUUGGCAAAGACUCUCUCCAGAAAGGCUCUUCUUGAAGUUGCAUGAAACCUCCACCCUAGGCUGUGGCACCACAGGCCUGGGUACCCAGUUCAGAGCAUCCCAAAGUGGACGAGGAAAGAGUGGGACUUCUGAGGAGUGUAAGGAUGGAAGUUGUGGAAAAGCAGCUUCUGGUGGUUUGGUUGUGGAGAUCUGUUCUUGGCCAGCAACCUCUGUGAGAACAAGAUUUAGAUGUAGAGCUUAGUGAUGUGGUUUAGUGGAGGACUUGUUAGUCUUAGGUCAGAGGUUGGACUAGAUGAUCUUGGAGGUCUCUUCCAACCUAGAUGAUUCUGUGAUUCUGUAAUUCUGUAACAAGGAACUGUCUGCUCCUGCCACAACUGCUUGCCUGCUUAUGUUACAAUAUACAAUAAACAUACAUUAUGUACGGUGAAUGCAUAUGGG